rnacentral:rRNA from 1 species
ACAACGGAGAGUUUGAUCCUGGCUCAGGAUGAACGCUGGCGGCGUGCUUAACACAUGCAAGUCGAACGAGCCUUCGGGUUAGUGGCGGACGGGUGAGUAACGCGUGGGAAUCUGCCCUCAGGAGGGGGAUAACGGCUGGAAACGGCCGCUAAUACCCCAUAUGCCGAGAGGUGAAAUGAAUUUCGCCUGAGGAUGAGCUCGCGUCUGAUUAGCUAGUUGGUGUGGUAAAGGCUCACCAAGGCUUCGAUCAGUAGCUGGUCUGAGAGGAUGAUCAGCCACACUGGGACUGAGACACGGCC